rnacentral:lncRNA from 1 species
AUGGUUUUGGCACAGGCCCCGUGGCUGCCCCACAGCCCGGUGCAGGGCCUAUCCCUGCCCCGCUGUUCCUGCACGGGCCCAGGCUGGCCCCGCAGGCUGCAGCAGGGCUGGGGCAGGGUGCUGGUGCUGCAGGAGCCUGCCCCGACCCCAGCCAGCCCCGUGAGCCAAGCACCCGUUCACAAAGCUGCAGCCCAGAACGGGCACGGGGAGCCCCUCGGAGCUGCGCCAGUCACUGCCCUGCACGGCCUCUCCAGCGCCGCCGCCGCGUCCCUCUGCCGGGCCCCGCAUCUCCUCCGUACAGCACCUGCUGGAAACCGAGCUUCCCCCUUCCCGGGGCAGCGCCUCCGCUCCGGCCCCAGGAGCCAGCCAGGCGGGGAGCCCCGCAGCGAGGGCCAGCCCCGCUCAGAGCUGAGCCCUCUUUUUGGGGCCCCCCCCGGUGCCCUCCUGCAGCCACACGCUCAGCCCAGCCCCGUCCAGGUGCAUCCUGCACCGCCGGGGCCACCCUCGCGCACCCGGCGUGCGCCCAGCGCCGCUGCUCUGCCCAGCUCAGCCCCUGCAGGGGCACUCAGGUGCCGAGGGGCUGCAGCGGGGAGCCCGGACACCCACCGGAGCUACCCCCCGCCGCCUCUUUGCUCGCCUCCGCCUCCAUCAGCCGGUGCAGGAGCCCCUUUGCCCGGCCACGGAGGCGGUGGCCGGGGCGGGUGGCCUCCAUGCGCCGCGGCAGUUGAGGAGCAGCACGGUCAGCACCAGCCCCAGCGCCAGCCCCAGCCCCAGCAGCCCGAAAUGCCUGCGUGAGACUGCGAGAGGGGCGGUGAGGGGCGGGGGGAAGCCCCCACACCCCACCCCCAGACCCCAGACCCUCCUGCUGGCUCCAGGACCCCGCUCACCAUCAGGGCAGAGCAGCUGCUUCCUGGCGAAGCGCACGUC